rnacentral:rRNA from 1 species
AGAGUUUGAUCAUGGCUCAGAAUCAACGCUGGCGGCGUGCCUCAGACAUGCAAGUCGAACGCGAAAGUUUCCUUCGGGAGACAAGUAGAGUGGCGCACGGGUGAGUAACACGUAGGUAAUCUACCUUCGGAUGGGGAAUAACAAUCGGAAACGGUUGCUAAUACCGCAUAAUGCAGCGGCACCUAAUGGUGACAGUUGUUAAAGCGGGGGAUCGUAAGACCUCGCGUCUGAAGAGGAGCCUGCGGCGGAUUAGCUAGUUGGCAAGGUAACGGCUUACCAAGGCAACGAUCCGUAACCGGCCUGAGAGGGCGGUCGGUCACACUGACACUGACAUACGGGUCAGACUCCUACGGGAGGCAGCAGUCGGGAAUUUUGGGCAAUGGGCGAAAGCCUGACCCAGCAACGCCGCGUGAAGGAUGAAAUCCCUCGGGAUGUAAACUUCGCAAGAACGGGAAGAAUAAGUUUCAGUUAAUAUCUGAAACGAUGACGGUACCGUUUGUAAGCUCCGGCUAACUCCGUGCCAGCAGCCGCGGUAAUACGGGGGGAGCAAGCGUUGUUCGGAUUUACUGGGCGUAAAGGGCGCGUAGGCGGUCAGCACAAGUCAGUUGUGAAAUCUCCGGGCUUAAC